CGGAGGCUCGGGAUUUCUUAGCAACAGGGGCAGGAGCAUCAGAAGGAGCAGGACGCUUACUCCCGACCUCAUUGGUCACGCCCCGAGAAACAAUUGUUGUCUCCCUUCAAGGAGGGGCCCCCUCCGCGGGCUCAGAUUCAGUCUCCUUCGUAAGAACGACCCCAGAAGAGAUUUCUUGGGCAUUUUGACCUUCGGGGUAGACUUCAUUCGUGUCCCUAGGCC
rnacentral:lncRNA from 1 species